ACAAACUUGGUCAUUUAGAGGAAGUAAAAGUCGUAACAAGGUUUCCGUAGGUGAACCUGCGGAAGGAUCAUUACUGAAGUUGCUGGGAGAUGUUGCUGGCUUUUUCUUUUUAAAAAAAGCAAUGAGCCUCCCCGAGGGAGAAGACUCUAUGUUUUUGUUUUUUGCUACACACACGAGAUUUUGAAUGUACAUGCUUAUGGCAAUAUCAGAAAGAAACAACUUUCAACAAUGGAUCUCUUGGCUCUCGCAUCGAUGAAGAACGCAGC
rnacentral:misc_RNA from 1 species